AGAAUAUGACAUGGUGAAAGCUGAUCAGCAUCCGCGUGAGAUGACGUCUAUGAUGUAACUCUUUGUACAGGAUAACUACUCUCGUGAGGUAGCUGAGUACUGUACGAUAGCACGCUACUCCGUGCCAGCAGCGCGUAAUACGGAGGGUGCAAGCGUAUCCGGAUUUAUUGGGUUUAAAGGGUCCGUAGGCGGACCUGUAAGUCAGUGGUGAAAUCUCAUAGCUUAACUAUGAAACUGCCAUUGAUACUGCAGGUCUUGAGUAAAUUUGAAGUGGCUGGAAUAAGUAGUGUAGCGGUGAAAUGCAUAGAUAUUACUUAGAACACCAAUUGCGAAGGCAGGUCACUAAGAUUUAACUGACGCUGAUGGACGAAAGCGUGGGUAGCGAACAGGAUUAGAUACCCUGGUAGUCCACGCCGUAAACGAUGCUAACUCGUUUUUGGAUUUUCGGAUUCAGAGACCAAGCGAAAGUGAUAAGUUAGCCACCUGGGGAGUACGUUCGCAAGAAUGAAACUCAAAGGAAUUGACGGGGGCCCGCACAAGCGGUGGAUUAUGUGGUUUAAUUCGAUGAUACGCGAGGAACCUUACCAAGACUUAAAUGGGAAUUGACAGAUUUAGAAAUAGAUCCUUCUUCGGACAAUUUUCAAGGUGCUGCAUGGUUGUCGUCAGCUCGUGCCGUGAGGUGUUAGGUUAAGUCCUGCAACGAGCGCAACCCCUGUCACUAGUUGCUAACAUUCAGUUGAGGACUCUAGUGAGACUGCCUACGCAAGUAGAGAGGAAGGUGGGGAUGACGUCAAAUCAUCACGGCCCUUACGUCUUGGGCCACACACGUAAUACAAUGGCCGGUACAGAGGGCAGCUACACAGCGAUGUGAUGCAAAUCUCGAAAGCCGGUCUCAGUUCGGAUUGGAGUCUGCAACUCGACUCUAUGAAGCUGGAAUCGCUAGUAAUCGCGCAUCAGCCAUGGCGCGGUGAAUACGUUCCCGGGCCUUGUACACACCGCCCGUCAAGCCAUGGAAGUUUGGGGUACCUGAAGUCGGUGACCGUAAAAGGAGCUGCCUAGGGUAAAACA
rnacentral:rRNA from 2 species